UUGUUCUCGGUUUGAAGAAUUGCUUUGAUAGCUUUUCUUUACCAUAUUCUUAUCUAUUGUUUUUGCUAUAUAUCCUUUAAAGAAAUAAUGAUUAUGUUAAUAACAAUCUAUAUAACUUUCAACAACGGAUCUCUUGGCUCUCGCAUCGAUGAAGAACGCAGCGAAAUGCGAUAAGUAAUGUGAAUUGCAGAAUUCAGUGAAUCAUCGAAUCUUUGAACGCACCUUGCGCUCCUUGGUAUUCCGAGGAGCAUGCCUGUUUGAGUGUCAUGAAAUUAUCAAGGUCCUCUCCUUUUCCUGGUCUGGAUUUUUGGAUUUAUGGGGGAAUUGCUGAUUUGAAAACCAAUUAGCUCCUCUGAAAUACAUUAGCAACAAGGCUUCUUCUGCCAAUUUGUGGUGUGAUACAUUUUUAUUUACACUAUUUUAAAAAGGCAGUUAAUCAGUUCUUGUGGCUUCUAAUUGUCUGUUUGGACAGUGUUUUAAUAUUUGACCUCAAAUCAGGUAGAG
rnacentral:rRNA from 1 species